CCUACGGGAGGCAGCAGUGAGGAAUAUUGGUCAAUGGGCGGAAGCCUGAACCAGCCAAGUCGCGUGAGGGAUUAAGGCCCUGCGGGUCGUAAACCUCUUUUGCCGGGGAGCAGUGGUCCGGACGCGUCCGGACCGGGAGAGUACCCGGAGAAAAAGCAUCGGCUAACUCCGUGCCAGCAGCCGCGGUAAUACGGAGGAUGCGAGCGUUAUCCGGAUUUAUUGGGUUUAAAGGGUGCGUAGGCGGGCAUUUAAGCCGGCGGUCAAAUGUCGGGGCUCAACCCCCGAACUGCAUUUGAAACUGUUGGUCUUGAGUAUCGGAGAGGCAGGCGGAAUUCCUAGUGUAGCGGUGAAAUGCGUAGAUAUUAGGAGGAACACCAGUGGCGAAGGCGGCCUGCUGGACGACAACUGACGGUGAGGCGCGAAAGCGUGGGGAGCAAACAGGAUUAGAUACCCCUGUAGUC
rnacentral:rRNA from 1 species